CAGACGCACAGACGUAUAGACAUACAGACGCACAGACGUACAGACACACAGACGUACAGACGCACAGACGUACGCACCGCCUGCAGGACAACGCAGCGCCUCGAGCGCAAACAGGGUCGGCGCGUUUACUGUAAACACGCGCUGCUCUCAAACCGUGCCCAGACCCGGCUGCGUGCGGCGCUUGGACACCAGGACCCAGCCCUGGCGCAGAACGCCAGCCGAGAGAGAGACAGAGGGAGCUGGAGGUGUGGUCUAUUGUUUUUUGCGGAAGAGGUGUAGGGUUACACUGCCGCCAAACCUCCAAAGAGCUCCGUCACCCCCCCCCCCCUUUUUUCUUUUUUUGCUCCCUGGCGGGGAGAAGGUGAGUAGAUGAAGUAGUGAACCAGAAAGGGAGUCACAGGGAAUUUCACAGAUUUUAUCUGUCACUAUUAUAAUGGUCUCUGGACGGCAGGCAGACCCUGAGGUGUGACUGCAUGUGAGAGAGAGAGAGGAAGUGAGAGAGAGAGACAGAGAGAGGAGUGGAGAGAGAGGGAGUGAGAGGGAGAGAGGGAGAGGGAUUGAGAGAGAGAGAGAGAGAGAGAGAGAGGGAGAGGGAAUGAGAGAGAGAGACAAACUGAGGGACAGGGAGUAACAUUGACACCAGAAAAGUAAAAUUAUUAUAGUUCAUUGACAUUUUGUAUGCGUUAUGUUCUAGUUGUAGAAUUUUAUUUCUGUGGAUUGUCUGGAUUUUAUAUUUUUUCUGUUUAUUGUAGUUAAAUUGUUAUUGCCUGUCUGUUAUAUUUGUCAUGUGAGUGAAUGCUUUGGCAAUGUAAGUGUACCCUUACCAUGCCAAUAAAGCUUACUGAAUUGAA